rnacentral:lncRNA from 1 species
CUCUAAAGGGAAAAUUGUCUUUUUUUUUUUUAAAAAAAAUCAAUAUUUUCUUUAGCAGAUACCUGUCAUUCUGUUAAACCCCUGCUGUACAUUUUCUUUGUUUCCCACAUUGUGAGUUUUAUUUUUCCAGGGCAGAAUUUCCCAGCAUCUCUUCCAGCUCCCAGGGAGAAGGUCUGGGACCUAUGUUCUACCAACCAAAUACACUCUCAUGAAGCUCUCAUUUGGAAGUCAGCAACAUGCAGACACAGACUGGGUUCUGAGCAUCUAUGGUGCAGAUGAAGAUGAUGGCAGGAGCUGUGGAGGCAGUAGAAUCCUCAUCAAGCCACUUCUGUGCCUCUAGACCUGCAGUAGCAUGAAGAGGUCUGAGGAAGCUGUGCGUCCCUCAAGAAAGCAAUUCUUUAUUGCCCAUCAAAGAUGAAUCCAUAGGGGAUCAUUAACAAGGAGAUCAUCCCAGAGAGCAGCUUCUAGAAUCACCAACCAAACAGAAGAUUUGUCAGAAGAACAAAGACCUCAAAAUGAGAAGGAAUGUGUUCUGGACUUAAAACAUUGCUCAGGUAUCUUAGCAAGGACUGAGACCUUGGAGGUCUCCAAAUACCAGUAAGAAUCAUUGUGUUAUCCUCUUUCUC